AUGGGUGCCGAGAAGGUCCUAACAUGCCCGGAUGCCUGGGCCCUUUCCCAAUUCAUGGGUGCCGGGAGGGUCCUAACGCACCCGGACUCUUGGGCCCUUUUCUAUUUCAUGGGUGCGGGGAGGGUCCUAAUGCGCCCGGACGCCUGGGCCCUUUCCUAUUUCACGGGUGCCGGGAGGGUCCUAACACACCCAGACGCCUGGGCCCUUUCCCAAUUCAUGGGUGCUGGGUCCUUUCUGGGUUCAUGGGAGCUGGGGAACUGGGGGUGUUAUAAUGCACCCGGAUGCCUGGGCCCUUUCCCAAUUCAUGGGUGCGGGGAGGGGCCUAACACACCCGGAUGCCUGGGCCCUUUCCCAAUUCAUGGGUGUCGGGAGGAUCCUAACGCACCCAGACGCCUGGGCCCUUUCCCCUUUCCUGGGUGUCGGGAGGGUCCUAACGCGCCCGGACGCCUGGGCCCGCCCUGUCACCGCAGGGGUCUCCCCGGAGCAGCUGUGCCACGCGCGGGGCCGCUGCGUGGACGUGGGCAGCACCCACCAGUGCCUGUGCCACGAGGGCUACGCGGGCGCCUACUGCGAGAGCCCCCUGGACCGCUGCCAGCCCGACCCCUGCCAGCACGGCGCCACGUGCCGCAGCUACGUGGGCGGCUACCACUGCGAGGUGAGGGCCCCGGCACCCUUGGGUGCCCAUGGGCCCGUGGGUGCACCCACCACCCUUGGGCCAUCUCCCCGAUGUCCCCUGCUCUGGGUGCCAGGUGGGACGCCGGGUCCCCCCGUGGGGCACCCGCCGCCCCCUUCCCUCCCCGAUGUCCCCCUGCUCCGGGUGCCAGCUGGGACAUGAGGUCCCCACGGGCACUGACCGCCUCAGCCACCCCCUGUGGGACACCCCUGGGUGCCGGUCACCCACGGGUGUCCCCCCGCAGUGUCCCCCGGGCUUCGAGGGUGAGCAGUGCCAGCGGGAGGUGGACGAGUGCCAGUCGCAGCCGUGCCAGAACGGUGGCUCCUGCGUGGACCUCGUGGGCCGCUACGUCUGCUCCUGCCCGCCGGGCACCCUGGGUAGGUGCCACCACCCCGGCGGGGACAGCGCCGAGGGACGCCGGGGUCCCCGCGGCGCUGCCCCCGCCCCCCCCAUGCCAGCGUGCACAGGGACCCCCCCGGGUCCUCACGUCGGGAUGGUGGCAGGUGGCAGCUCUGUGUCCCCGUGUCCCUGUGCCAGGAUGGUGA
rnacentral:lncRNA from 1 species